GUCUCUAAGGAUGAUUACCGUAUGAAUUUUCUGAAUUAAUAUAUGCUGAAAGUUCUGGAGACCUGAACUGAAGAGAC
rfam:Daucus carota subsp. sativus cultivar DH1 chromosome 1, whole genome shotgun sequence.